AUGGGCAGAUCCGAAGACUCACAUCUCACCAUGCCUUUUUCCCUGCUACCUAACCUGACCAUCUUUUUUUUUUCUCCCAGAAAGGCUGCCAAUAGGGCCUGUAUCACUAGGCAGGCUUUGCUUCAGGCCUGGAGGGGCCCAAAGGGAUGGCUGUCAUCCCUGGAAGGCUGGCAAGUAGCCGAGGCCUCGAAUUCCUGGCUUCCUAUGGUCCUAGACAUGGACCUUCCUAACCACAGGGCCACACAGGGAUGCAGCAAGAAGACCCAGCACUUUAUCUUGAGAGACCAGCUACAGAGGUAUUUGUGCCAAGAGGGGGCACCCAGCCCGCUAUGGAACCCCGAAGCUGUGUGCUCCCCCUCUCUCAGUGAACCAAGCGAUCCUGCUGCUCAUGUACUCAGGGACUCAGGGAUUCCACUCAGUGAAAACCCAGCCCUUGAGCUUCGUUAAUGUGGAAAUAAUAAUAGUUAAUAUUUACUUAGGACUUCCUGCCUUCCACGUUUACCUAGGUUAUUUUACCCAAUUCCCACAGCUGCCCAACAAGGUAGGUGCUAUUAUUAAUAGUAUGCAGAUAAGGAGAUUGAGGUCCAAAGUGUUUUAAGUGACUCAUUCAAAGGUUUAGAGCCAGCAGGGGGAAGAGCGGGAUUCAGACCCAGGCAGAGAGGCACUAACAUCUGUGGUGGGAAUGAUUUUGCCUUACUGGUCCUGGAGCCAGAGCAUCCACCUGAGGCCUGCUUCUGCCAUGACCUCACUGUUCACCUUUCUGAGCAUCAAUUGCCUCCUCUGCAAAAUGGGGAGAAUACCUUUUGCUCUGUGGGCAAGUUGGAGGACCAUAUGGUUCGAUCCAGGACCCAGCUCUCAAUAUUACCCCUACCCUACCCCUCAUGUACUGGAAGCUCCAGCCUGGCUAAAAAAACAGUAAAAGUGAAACUGUUAGUUGAUCAGUCAUGUCUGUCUCUUUGUGACCCCAAGGACUGUAGCCUGCCAGGAUCCUGUAUCCAUGGAAUUCUCCACGUAAGAAUACUAGAGUGGGUUGCCAUGCCCUUCUUCAGAUUUCCAACCCAGGGAUCAAACCCCAGUCUCCUACAUUGCAGGCAGAUUCUUGACUGUCUGAGCCACCAGGGAAGCCCCCCAAAACGGUAUUUGCCACCCAGGGUCUGGAAUGUCAGGUCAGCUCAACAGACCAUUUCUUGCUAAAUUAAGCAAGGUUUGCCUCUCAUUUCAAAUGGCAUCUGGAAAUAAAAAGCUGGCCUGAUCUCAGCAGUACAGCAUGAAGAUGAAAAGGCUUUGCUGCUGCUGCUGCAGCUAAGUUGCUUCAGUCGUAUCCGACUCCUAGCGACCCCAUGGACUGNNNNNNNNNNNNNNNNNNNNNNNNNNNNNNUUUCCAGGCAAGAGUACUGGAGUGGGGUGCCAUUGCCUUCUCUGGAAAAGGCUUUGAACCCAUCAAAUUCCAGCUCUGUCAGUUAACAUGUCACCUUGGGCAGACCUCUUUACCUCUUGAGCCUCUGCUUCUGAAUAUACAAAAUGGGUGUAGUGAGAGCCCCCAAAGUGUUGUAUAUUGACCGAUACUACUUAGAGUAUCGUGAGUUCUGACAAAUGGUAGCUGUCACUUUUCUUACACACUAUAUUAUAAUUACUGGCAUUUAGCACACUACUGGUACCUACUUAGCAUUCAAAUAAUAUUUAAUAGAUAAGUGGAUGUUUACCUGUCUGCAUCUCUCACCUUAUGAGUUUCUUAAGGGCAAGAGUCAUAUUUUGUUUAUUUCUGUGUCCUUAUUGUUGAGGAGAGUAGCUGGCACGUGGGAGUGCUUAAUAAAUGUUUGUUGUUUUCCCUAAUGGUAUAAUAGAUGUGGGCAGCCAUCAUCCAUGGUGCUAAAACCACAAGGUGAAAGGCUGAUGGAGAAUGUGAUAAUAGAAGGAUCAGGAUGACACCAGCUGAAUCUUGGUAUCCUAAAAGUGAGUCAGCCAAUUUCUUGCUUCCUGAUACGAUGCUAUAGGGAGGACUCCAUACCAGUUAUGAAAUAUUUUUGCCUAAAAAAAAUUGAAUCUGACUCAAAUCAAAGCUCUAGAUCUGAGUACCAGUUUCCAUGACAUAUGGGAGAGAGGGACAUGGUAAAUGACAUCCUGAGGAUGCAUUCAGCCAAAUAUAAAAAUGUAAGACCUCUAACAGGACAAGUGACCUGGUAUCUUAAAAACUAAAUGCCACUUAAAAACAAACAAACUCUGUAAAUUUGGAAUUACAUCAAAACAGAAACAAGCAAGCAAACAAAAAUCUAGAAUUCCAUCAGAACAGAAGCAAACAAACAAAAAAGAAUCUGUUCAUUCUUCUGAUUGUGUUAAUGGUUUCAGAGUAUUUGUAUAUGCCAAAACGUCAAAUUGUCUACUGAAAUACAUGCAGUCAAUUAUACUUCAAAAAAGCUGGACAAAAAAGGAUGGGCAGGUUUUUACAAAGAUAAAGANNNNNNNNNNNNNNNNNNNNNNNNNNNNNNNNNNNNNNNNNNNNNNNNNNNNNNNNNNNNNNNNNNNNNNNNNNNNNNNNNNNNNNNNNNNNNNNNNNNACAAAGAUAAAGAGAUGCAAGGGACAUACAGCCCAAUGUAAAGUGUGACUCUUGCUUGAAUUCUGAUACAAAAAUAUUGUAGGGACUUCCCUAGUGGUCCAGUGGCAAAGACUCCAUGCUCCCAAUGCAGGGCACCUGGAGUUUGAUCUUGGGUCAGGGAAUUAGAUCCCACCUGCCGCAAUUAAGAGUUUGCAUGGGGCUUACCUGGUGGCUCAAAAAAU
rnacentral:lncRNA from 1 species